UACGGAGGGAGCUAGCGUUGUCCGGAUUUAUUGGGUUUAAAGGGUGCGUAGGCGGGAGAUUAAGUCAGUGGUGAAAGCCCACAGCUCAACUGUGGAACUGCCAUUGAUACUGGUUUUCUUGAGUAUAGAUGAGGCAGGCGGAAUUUGCGAUGUAGCGGUGAAAUGCAUAGAUAUCGUAAAGAACCCCUAUAGCGAAGGCAGCUUGCUAAACUAUAACUGACGCUGAGGCACGAAAGCAUGGGUAGCGAAGAGG
rnacentral:misc_RNA from 1 species